UCCGUUAACAAGUCAAUGCUAAAAGUCAUUUUAGGGCUGGAAUAGUAAUUCCAGCACUAAUCAGAUUCACUCUAUGGAGAAACACGGCGGAGAGAGACGCGUCGAUCACUGCGUUCCGGUGCCGCUUCCCGGCGAGAGGAGGCUAUUCAAUAGUAUGACCAAUUUCAUGGCGGUCACCUCGCCACUACCAAAAUUUCAACGGCCAGCUGAACGAGUCCACUGGCUUCCACUUCAACAUCGUCUCCAAUCAUUCACUGCCUCUCUCAGGUUACAAGAGACCGUUUCACUACUCUAAUAAUUUUGUGGCUUCUAAUUUUGAAGCUAUACGUUAAAUUGUUGUGCGCAUACGCCAACGUAGAUAACUUAAAUGUUCGGGGCUGUGCUGCUUAAAUUUUGAAGCAUCAUUUUGCCUCCAAAUUUUGAUUUCAUGUUAAGAUAGUAUUUGCUUCUGAGUUUGAAUUAUGUGAUCUCUGUCUUCGAUUAAGUUUACCGCUGUUUCGGGGGAGAUACUAUUGAGGUUGUUAUUCCCAAGGAUAAGCGGACUGGAUUACAACAGGCUAUGAUUCAAUGAAUCGGUGGUUUCUACUUUCACUUUCAUGUUUAUUAUGUUCGAUCGUAAUGUGUAGCUGAUUUAAUAAACUCAGGGGUAUCAGUGUAGUUGAUAUUUGAUUGGGAAUCACUAUUUGAUGAAGUACUCUGUCUUGAGUAAUAGACAUGCUUUGAGAAGGGAUAUCAAAGAAGUGAGUACCUUUUAAUUGCAUUCGACACUUUCCAGACCUACAAUAACCUUGUUCCAUUGUAAAAGAGGUUUCAUAUGAACUAUGCCCGAGGUCACUGAUGCCUGCACUAGACCUUUUUUGUUUUUAAAUUUUCUUGUACUAGAGCCUGACUUGAAUUGCAUGCACCUUUGCUUUUGUAUUAACUGUAAGAGGUGCAUAAAAAGAACUGCAAGUAGGCUCGUCAAUUAGUUCAACUAGUGCCAAGUCCUUGAAAACAUGUACUACCUUUGAGCUUUAAAUUCCUGAUCAUCUGUUUUUCCCCCUCUAUACUAUAUAAUAAAAGAGAUUUUUAUUGUAAUUCAAGCAAAAUCACGGUAUGCAUCUUCUGAUUCUCUGAGCUCUCCCUUGUCUAAGUUCAUUUGAAUUGCAUGAGCCUGAGAAAUUAUUGCUAGUGAAGUGGUUUCUAACUAUGCUCUUGAAAUUUCUUAGUUGGCCUAGUUUGUGCACCCUGAAAACAACAAUUUAAAUAGGUGAUUAAGAAAAAUAUCUUUAAGCUUCUCUUUGCUGCACUCGCACCUUGAUCUGUUUUUCUUUGCAUCUCUUAAAUGCUAAGUAACUCCUUGCUUGUUGAUUAUUGUAACUUCAACCGUUUUUCCUCAUAUGCAUUAUUUCUGGCUUUAAGGAAGUGGUUUUGUCCUAUAUAUUUUUAGAGAUAUUGCACUUGCCGCCACUCAUGCAUUAAAUGGAAUAUAUGUGAUCGUAAAGCUUUAUGCUUACAUGUCAGUGUUUCUCAUUCCUUUCCGUUUUAGAAGUGAAUGCUAAAAUAUUUUUUCAUAGGUUUGUGAUCAACCAUUGAUUGUGCGGUUUGCAGAUCCUAAGUAGCCCCAAAUAUGGGAUUUGAAGUUUUCACCCGUUCUGUUAGUUAUCUACAUUUAUAGUUUUCUGAUAAUAGAUGUAUGCUCUAUCUCAUAGAUGGAGAGAUGUGCAGUGUACCUUCCAUUUCCCAGUUAUAUGAUAUAGCUGGACAACCAUUUCUCUGGGGAGAUGGAGAAUCUAUGCCAGAAUGCCAGGAUGCAAGAUAGUAACAAUGGCAAACAAGGAUUCUGCACCUGUAACCAGAGCAUUUGAUUCCAGUGCUGAGGUAGAGAACUCUGUAGAAUGUGACUGGAGGAAGCAUGUUUCUCCUGAUGGAGAUUUGUACUAUUAUAACUGUGUGGCAUGUGAAAGCAGGGUUAGAGGUUCUUCCAUUUUCACAUUUUCCCCCCCUUCCCAUAGAUAUUGACAUAUCAUUGGAUUUUGAUGGACAACUGUUAUAAGCAUGAUAUUAGUGGGAGAAUCCUGUGGAGCUCAGUAUGCAAUUUAUGAACAAGAACUUGAUGGCCUAGAAGAACAGCAAAACCUGCAUGAAUCAAAUUCACACACUUUUUUCCCAGGAGGUGUUUGAAGCCCAAAAGGUACCUGCUCUCACAUGACUACAAGAGUUAAUACAAAAGGAAGCAUAGCUGCUGGAAUCACAUAUGGUUAGUUUCAGCUGACUGCCUUGUAUUUCAGUUGAGUUAUUUAAGUAUGUUACAACUGUGUCUUAUGUGAGUUGGAGGGUAUAUCUUGUCUGUAACACAUUUUAUUCAAGUGGUAUUCUGGACUUUGUAUGUUAAUGCUGCAAAAAAAUCACAAUCCCGAGGGAAUUAGUUUCUCCAUUUUGUCAA